GAUGAACGCUAGCUGCAGGCUUAACACAUGCAAGUCGAGCGACCGGCGCACGGGUGAGUAACACGUAUCCGCCCUGCCCUUUACUAGGGGAUCGCCUUUCGAAAGCAAGAUUAAUACCCGCUCUAAAGGAUGGGGAUGCGUUCCAUUAGGUUGUUGGUGAGGUAACGGCACGCCACGCCUUCUAUGUAUAGGGGUUAGGAGAGGAAGGUCCCCUGCAUUGGAAAUGAGGCACAGGCUAAACUGCGAGGCGAGGGAGCAGUGAGGAAUACAGGUCAAUGGGCGCUAGUCUGAACCAGCCAAGUAGCGGGAAGAAUGAAGGGGUAGGGAUCGUAAACUUCUUUUAUAGAAGAAGAGGUAUUAUAUGAAUAAGGAUCGGCUAACUCCGUGCCAGCAGCCGCGGUAAUAC
rnacentral:rRNA from 1 species